UUAAGGAAAGACAGAGAAGGUGGUCUAAAUAAACCACACCCACAUGAAAGCUUCACAAUAGGCUUCUACAAUCAUACAUUUACUGUUUAGCUUCAGUUUAUAAAGCCAGUAAAUCUUCUCAACAUGGAGAGAUGCUUUCUACUGAUUCUUCUGUCUGUGCCAGGGUUUCUGUCUGACAGCAUUAAACCAAAAGACAAAGAAACUAAUAUUUACAGAAAUGAAGAAGAGCGUGUAACUCUGAGCUGCUCAUAUGAUUCAAGUAGCAGUUAUGUCUAUCUCUACUGGUACAGACAGUAUCCUAAUAAAGAACCUGAAUAUUUACUGUAUAAAGGAGCUCGAUCAUGGGACGGUUCUGAGGAUAUACCAGACCCUCAACGGUUUCAGUCGACUACAUCCCAGUCAUCCACUGAACUCAUUAUUAACAGUGUGACUCUGUCAGAUUCAGCUCUCUAUUAUUGUGCUCUAAGAGUUGACACCCAGUGA